GGAGGUGUAGAUUAGUGGUAGAGUUUGUGCUUAGAAUGCACAGUGUCACUGGUUAAAUCCCCAGCAUCA
rnacentral:tRNA from 1 species